UGGAAGAUUGAGAGGGGUUGCUCCUAGUACGAGAGGACCGGAGUGAACGCACCACUGGUGUUCGGGUUGUCAUGCCAAUGGCAUUGCCCGGUAGCUAAGUGCGGAAGAGAUAACCGCUGAAAGCAUCUAAGCGGGAAACUUGCCUCGAGAUGAGUCUUCCCUGUCGCUUUAAGCGACCUAAAGGAACGUUUAAGACUAAGACGUUGAUAGGCUGGGUGUGUAAGCGUAGCGAUACGUUGAGCUAACCAGUACUAAUGAACCGUGAGGCUUAACCUG
rnacentral:rRNA from 1 species